rnacentral:lncRNA from 1 species
UGGCUGUGUGCCUGAGCCCAUGCAUCCCAAGGAUCUCUGAGCAUGAGCCAGGGUGGCCCAGGGGCUCACAGGAAUUCCCCUUCUGCUCUGAGCCCACCAGAGCUGGCUAUACAAUGAUAACUUCACCCCCCUCGCCCCCCAUGGGCAGCACCUGCUCCCUGGGUCUCCCCUGGUGGCCCUAUUAUCCCGCACCUGCUGCUUCCCCACCUGCUCCCUAUUCUUAGCCCCCUCCCCAUAGCACACCCUGUUCAUCACUAGGCCCAGCUGCCUGCUCUGACAGCCAGCCAGGAAGGGGAAAGAAGUGGACCAUGAGGACAAAGAGCGGGACAAGGGAGGGUGACGCAACCUUCACGUGCAUGAAGAUGCUAAUGGUUCAUAUUUUAUAUCCUGAAGAAAGAAAUCAAAAGAACUAAAACAAUCCCCAUAGUUAAAACAGAACAAAGCAGAAAAAAAGAAUCACUUCUGGGGCUGGAGGUGAUGUUUCUGAAAAAGGGUCCCGAGGAACUGAAACCACAGUGAUGUGUCACAGAGAAAUGACAACUCACUUUUCCCAGAUGUGAGCUCUCAGCUAUUCCUGCCAUCAUGCCUGCUGCUUGCUGCUGUGAUUCCCAACUGUAACGGGGAUGGAGUCCUAUCCCCCUAGAACCAUUAGUCCAACAUAAAUCCUUCUGCACG